ACACACACACACACACACACACAUACAUACAUACAAUUGGAGAAAAGAUGGCAUCUACAACAAAUGGCACUGGGAAAACUAUUUCUACAUGGCUUUGUGUUUAUCAGAGAUUUAAGAGGUUGAUUCAUCGGGGACCUUGGACAUAGUCCGUGGCUUUAUUGGCUACAAUCUUUAUGUUGUAGGAUAGGCUUUGGUGGAGCUAAGUGACCUAGACCAGCUUCUAAAUUGGACUUAUAAAAACCAUAAAACAGUUCAGAGGCGAUAAAGGAGGAGCAAAACAAGAAAGGGGGCCUGUCUGGGUUCCUUGAUGGCAGACACAGCACGAUUCGUGUCACCUUGGAGUCACAGAGAAAACCCAGAAAGCUGAAUGUUGUGCUGAUGAGCUCCUGGAAGUUUUAAAACCUGAGACGUUCACUGAUAAAACAAUACAGGAUCUCUGUUGCUGCCCAAGGUCAGCUGACACUUGAUACGGAUUAUGGUGUUGAUUGAUGCAGUCCUUCGAGCCGGUGGCGACAGGAACAACACGGACACCAAGUCGGGUUCACACAACAGCUUCUUUACUUCUGGGUUUUCCCCCUACAGCUUUCUUCCCCAGCAGCUUCUACUAUCUACUACCUCCGUCCUUCUUGCAGCAAGGGCUAAACUCCUAUCCUCCUCCGACUGACCUCAUCUCUCUCCACCCCACCUCAUCCAAUCAGAAUUCACACACACACACACACACACACACACACACACACACACACACACACACAUGCUCCAGGCACGAGCUCAGGUCAGUCACCGAUAGGCUGACAGGUCCGGAUCACGAGGAACAGUCCAGCCUGGCAGGCAGCCCACACAUGCAGCCUCACUGCGCAUGCUCAGGGAAGGCAGUAAACAUCUUGGCCCAUGUGGCUGCAUCCACUUCUUGCAGUUGAUUAAGGCAUUUGGGUUGACUAGAAGUUAUUCCCAUUCAUAGCUUUCACAUUGUCUCUUUAGUAUGACUUCUCUAUUAAAAAUGCCAACCUUUCAAUGGAUAUUACAUAUUUAAGGUUCCUCAAUUCUACUAAUUCUCCCAUGAUGUGAGGCCUGCCUUACAUCUUUGAUUCCAUGUGUUACCUGUAUGUAUGUAUGUAUUUGUGCAGAGAUGAGGGCUUUGGGCAUGCUAAGCAAACUGCUCUAUCAUUGAGCCAUAUACCCAGCCCCAUCUUUGAUGCCAUUAAUUUUGAUGCCUACAAAUUUUCUUUCUCAAGCAGGUUCUUGACUGAAUUAUUAUCUCAGAAUGUACGUUUGCAUACGUAAUCCCGUGUGAUGCUCACAGACAUGAAGUUGAUGUGGAUGGAUUUAUUUGGGUUUGUCUUCCUGUCAGGUCUGUUUUCUGAUUACAGGUUUUAUCUGCUCAGCAUGUUUCAUUUGCUGUCCUCACCACCCGGGUGAGUGGUGUGAGGAAGGGACUGUACCCAUCCAUUGUUCCAGGACUUGACAUACACUGAGGCCUGAUCAGUAAGAGGCAGUGAUACGUUAGUGGUCAGUAAAGCUCAAGCAAACUUAAUGUCUUAGUUAGGGUUCUAUUGUUGUGAAGAGACACCAUGACCACUGCAACUCUUACAAAGGAACACAAGUCACUGGGGCUGGCUGACAUUUCAGAGGCUUUGUCCCUUAUCCCAAUGCUGGGGAGCAUGGCGGAGCAAAGGCAGACGUGCUGCUGGAGAAGGAGCUGAGAGUUCUACAUCUGAAUCAUCAGGCUGCAGGAAGAGAGAGAUGCUGGAACUAGCCUGAGCAUUUGAAACUUCAAAGCCCAUCCCCACCGACAUACUUCCUUCAACAAAGCCACGCCUCCUACUGGUGCCAUUCCCUGAGUCUAUGGGCUCCACUUUUAUUCAAACUACCAUAAGAAGCAGCCUUGACACUCUACUUGGGACUAUGAACAUUAAGAACCCUGAUAACUUGAGUCACUAGGAGAUGAAUUUGCCUCCAUUGUAGAGACUGAGGGAAAGGUAACAGAUACAGUGGAAAACAAUAGCAGAACGUAAGCAGUUGCUCAUUUAGUGAUGCCUGAGUCUCUGGCUUCAUAGACCGGAUUCUUUCACAGACAUGAACUUUGCUGAUGUGGUAGUAACGUGUUUAUGGGCAAGCUGAGAGGAUGGAAGGGAAGCGAGGCACGUUCAUAUUAUACAUAAUCAGAAUAAUUUUCCUUUAAAAUUCAAAAUAUACACUAUAUUUCGAUCAUAUUUUCCCCUUCCCUGACCCCUUCCAGAUCCUUCCCACCCAACUUCAUGUGCUCUCUCUCACUCAAUCUCCCCCAAUAAAGAGGACAAUUAAAACAAACAAAGCAACAUGACCAAAAUGCCAAAACAAAGCAGGCAAGCAAACAAACAAAAUAAAAUAACAAUAGCAACAAAACAAAAAAAACCCAAACAUGGAGUUUGUUUUGUUCUGGUCAACUAUUCCUGGGCAUGGGGCCUGCUCCGAAGUGUGGGGUUCAUAUACCCAGUGACAUUCUAUUGGAGAAAACUAAUUUUUCAUUUCCCAGACAGCAUUGAUUAUGAAUUGCAAUUAGCUUUUUCUUUAGGGGCAGAAAUGUGUGUUCCUUAUUAGUGUUGGGGUUUUUAUCUGACUUGAACCUAGGCAGAUCUUGUGUGUGUGUAUUGUCACCAUCUCUGUGAGUUCAUAUGUGCCACAGUCCUGUUGUUUCUGGAAGAUACUGUUUUGUUGGCUUCAUCACCACCUCCUGGUUCUUACAUGUUUUCUGCUUCUUUUGCUUGAGUGCAUGAGCUCUGAGGGGAGGAGUUUAAUAAAGACAUUCCAUUAGGGCUGGGUGCUCCAAAGUCUCUCACUCUCUGCACAUUGUCCAGCUGUGGGUCUCUUUUGAAAAUUUCAUCUAUUGCAAGAAGUUUCUCUGAUGAGAGCUGAUGAUGAUCUGUCUAUGGGUAUAGCAGCAUGUUAGUAAGUUAUUUUAUUGCUAUGUUCCUUUAGAAAAAUAAUAGUAUUAGGUUUUCUCCUAGGACCCUUGACCUAUCUA